UUGAACUUAAGAGUUUGAUCCUGGCUCAGAUUGAACGCUGGCGGCAUGCUUUACACAUGCAAGUCGAACG
rnacentral:rRNA from 1 species